GAGCACUUUUAAAGGUUUGAUUGUGUUUAAAAUUCACGCUCGUGAACGGGGCUCCUCCCCCUCCGCUGACCAAUGUUAGAAGACUUUUCAUUGGCCAGUGUUGAAUGCUGGGCUGACAACUUCCGCCCUCGCGUGAUGACAGCCGACACUGAACUACUCAACACCGGGGAAACGGCUGUGACUGAAGGCUACGAGAAGGCACUCUAGGCUUGUGUGCCAAUAUCUGCCAUUCCUUCCUGUCACAAAUGGGUGCUUGAACAACGUGCUGCUGGGAAAGGCUUGUCCACAGUGCAGUUAAGUCUCCACACACAGGUGGUUGCCAAGGCGAUGAAUAUAAAUGACUUUGCGGGGGAGCCUUCUUGGUGUUACCGCUUCAUACAACGCAACUGCUUCUCCAGCAGAAAGGCCAGAAUAAUAACUGGGACUGAUGGUUAGCAGCCAUGCAGGAGAGGAGGCGACGCCGCCUCUGUCCUCUACUUCCGGAGGUGUUCAGAAGUGACACAGAGGAUGGAGAAGUCAGUGGAUUUGGUAGUGAUUUGAGAUACAACAGUCGCACGACAAAGCGGCGGCAGCUUCAAAAAAAAACCUUGGGGAAACCCUGAAGGCUCUCCUCGCCAUCUUCCAUAGGCCAACAAGUCUUCCAUAACGGGGUGCAUGUUCCAUACAGCGGGACAAUGCAGCACAACGUCACCGCAGACCCAGCGGAGGAUGCACGGAUCGAACACUAACCUCUGAUCGGACGACUGGAGCGAGGAUAACUGCUGAUUUUUGCUGAGAGGAGGGGCUCCUUCCUGCCUCGGCUUUCUGGUUCCGUUCUCGGGGUGGAACAACUUGUGCCUCACUGCUGCCAGCUGGGAAGUAGUUGGAGAUGGUUGCUUCAUAUGGUGCUAGGAUACAUUUGCCUCUCAGCGCCCCUCUCCCUCCCCCCAGUAAAGUCGUUCGUGAUUGGCUGCCGUCCCACUUUGCGUUCUACUUACUCUGCAUCCUUUCUGGCCCUCUAGUGGUCAUAUUAUUCGUAAACAACUUUUCUGCUGAAGCCCCAAAUGAUGGAUUACGCAACAAUGUGUUUUCUAUGGUGGCUGACGGGCAACAAAAGUUGUGAAGCUCUACCACCACGGUGACGAUGACGGGCUUCAGAUGUGGUGCGGGCAACUAUUGCUGUGGCGGGCCACGUUUACCGUCAGUGAAGACGACAUUCGAGUCACACUCCAGUUUGAUGGCGAUGUUGUGACCAACUUCUCAACUGACACAAACACUUACGUUGAAGACAUUUUUCAUUUAGCAUUUAUGUUCUGUCAUUCUUUCUGGAUCUUUUUUCCCACGUUGACAGGUUUCAAUUUGUCAUUUUCAAAUACUAUAUAACCUUAACACUGAUUACACAAAUGAAUCU